rfam:Myotis brandtii contig245405, whole genome shotgun sequence.
GGGGGUCCUAGGGUGAUGCACCCAGGAAUUGGGCUCCCUUCUCUCUGGUUCCAGGUGUGUCACCUGAGAACCCCA